UGGGGAAUAUUGGACAAUGGGCGAAAGCCUGAUCCAGCCAUUCCGCGUGUGUGAAGAAGGUCUUCGGAUUGUACAGCACUUUAAGUUGGGAGGAAGGGCAGUAAGCGAAUACCUUGCUGUUUUGACGUUACUCGCAGAAUAAGCACCGGCUAACUCUGUGCCAGCAGCCGCGGUAAUACAGAGGGUGCGAGCGUUAAUCGGAUUUACUGGGCGUAAAGCGUGCGUAGGCGGCUAAUUGAGUCGGAUGUGAAAUCCCCGAGCUUAACGUGGGAAUUGCAUUCGAUACUGGUUAGCUAGAGUGUGGGAGAGGAUGGUAGAAUUCCAGGUGUAGCGGUGAAAUGCGUAGAGAUCUGGAGGAAUACCGAUGGCGAAGGCAGCCAUCUGGCCUAACACUGACGCUGAGGUACGAAAGCAUGGGGAGCAAACAGG
rnacentral:rRNA from 1 species